CAGCACCCCGAGUGGUCGGGACGAUUACUGGGCCUAAAGCAUCCGUAGCCGGUUUUACAAGUCCUCCGUUAAAUCCAACUGCUUAACAGAUGGGCCGCGGAGGAUACUAUAAGACUAGGAGGCAGGAGAGGCAAGCGGUACUCAGUGGGUAGGGGUAAAAUCCGUUGAUCCAUUGAAGACCACCAGUGGCGAAGGCGGCUUGCCAGAAUGCGCUCGACGGUGAGGGAUGAAAGCUGGGGGAGCAAACCGGAUUAGAUACCCGGGUAGUCCCAGCUGUAAACGAUGCAGACUCGGUGAUGGACCAGCUUCAUGCUAGUCCAGUGCCGCAGGGAAGCCGUUAAGUCUGCCGCCUGGGUAGUACGGUCGCAAGACUG
rnacentral:rRNA from 1 species